ACUCCACAUACGCAUCCUUUGCUGAGGAUACGGUUAACGGAGCGAAAGCGACGUUCAACCGCAAAAGAAGCAGAGGGGGCUUAGUGGUGGGGUGACUGCGUACCUUUUGUAUAAUGGGUCAGCGACUUAUAUUCUGUAGCAAGGUUAACCGUAUAGGGGAGCCGGAGGGAAACCGAGUCUUAAUUGGGCGUUAAGUUGCAGGGUAUAGACCCGAAACCCGGUGAUCUAGCCAUGGGCAGGUUGAAGGUUGGGUAACACUAACUGGAGGACCGAACCGACUAAUGUUGAAAAAUUAGCGGAUGACCUGUGGCUGGGGGUGAAAGGCCAAUCAAACCGGGAGAUAGCUGGUUCUCCCCGAAAGCUAUUUAGGUAGCGCCUCGUGAAUUCAUCUCCGGGGGUAGAGCACUGUUUCGGCUAGGGGGCCAUCCCGGCUUACCAACCCGAUGCAAACUGCGAAUACCGGAGAAUGUUAUCACGGGAGACACACGGCGGGUGCUAACGUCCGUCGUGAAGAGGGAAACAACCCAGACCGCCAGCUAAGGUCCCAAAGUCAUGGUUAAGUGGGAAACGAUGUGGGAAGGCCCAGACAGCCAGGAUGUUGGCUUAGAAGCAGCCAUCAUUUAAAGAAAGCGUAAUAGCUCACUGGUCGAGUCGGCCUGCGCGGAAGAUGUAACGGGGCUAAACCAUGCACCGAAGCUGCGGCAGCGACACUAUGUGUUGUUGGGUAGGGGAGCGUUCUGUAAGCCUGUGAAGGUGUGCUGUGAGGCAUGCUGGAGGUAUCAGAAGUGCGAAUGCUGACAUAAGUAACGAUAAAGCGGGUGAAAAGCCCGCUCGCCGGAAGACCAAGGGUUCCUGUCCAACGUUAAUCGGGGCAGGGUGAGUCGACCCCUAAGGCGAGGCCGAAAGGCGUAGUCGAUGGGAAACGGGUUAAUAUUCCCGUACUUGGUGUUACUGCGAAGGGGGGACGGAGAAGGCUAUGUUGGCCGGGCGACGGUUGUCCCGGUUUAAGCGUGUAGGUGUGUGUUCCAGGUAAAUCCGGUUCACUUUAACACUGAGGCGUGAUGACGAGGCACUACGGUGCUGAAGCAACAAAUGCCCUGCUUCCAGGAAAAGCCUCUAAGCAUCAGGUAACAUCAAAUCGUACCCCAAACCGACACAGGUGGUCAGGUAGAGAAUACCAAGGCGCUUGAGAGAACUCGGGUGAAGGAACUAGGCAAAAUGGUGCCGUAACUUCGGGAGAAGGCACGCUGACACGUAGGUGAAGUGAUUUACUCAUGGAGCUGAAGUCAGUCGAAGAUACCAGCUGGCUGCAACUGUUUAUUAAAAACACAGCACUGUGCAAACACGAAAGUGGACGUAUACGGUGUGACGCCUGCCCGGUGCCGGAAGGUUAAUUGAUGGGGUCAGCGCAAGCGAAGCUCCUGAUCGAAGCCCCGGUAAACGGCGGCCGUAACUAUAACGGUCCUAAGGUAGCGAAAUUCCUUGUCGGGUAAGUUCCGACCUGCACGAAUGGCGUAAUGAUGGCCAGGCUGUCUCCACCCGAGACUCAGUGAAAUUGAACUCGCUGUGAAGAUGCAGUGUACCCGCGGCAAGACGGAAAGACCCCGUGAACCUUUACUAUAGCUUGACACUGAACAUUGAGCCUUGAUGUGUAGGAUAGGUGGGAGGCUUUGAAGUGUGGACGCCAGUCUGCAUGGAGCCGACCUUGAAAUACCACCCUUUAAUGUUU
rnacentral:rRNA from 1 species